CGAGUUGGCCAGACAAUCGCUGCUUACUCGUUGUACCUUUCGGGGUAGACGGAGUAAGGGGAGGAAAGUCCGGGCUCCAAAGAGCAGGGUGCCAGAUAACGUCUGGGCGGCGAAAGCCGACGACAAGUGCAGCAGAGAGAAGACCGCCUAAGUACGCAAGUACCGGUAAGGGUGAAAGGGUGCGGUAAGAGCGCACCGGGCCACUGGUAACAGUUGGCAGCAGGGUAAACUCCACCCGGAGCAAGACCAAAUAGGGUUCCUGACGGCGUGGCUCGCGUUGGAACCGGGUAGGUUGCUUGAGCUAUGGGGCGACUCAUAGCCUAGACGAAUGAUUGUCGUGUCUUAGACAUAACAGAACCCGGCUUAUACGGCCAACUCACUAA
rnacentral:RNase_P_RNA from 1 species